AACGAACGCUGGCGGCAGGCUUAACACAUGCAAGUCGAACGCCCCGCAAGGGGAGUGGCAGACGGGUGAGUAACACGAGGGAACAUGCCCAAAGGUACGGAAUAUUCUCGGGUAACUGGGAGCAAUACCGUAUGUGCCCGAAAGGGGAAAGAUUUAUCGCCUUUGGAUUGGCCCGCGUCGGAUUAGGUGGUUGGUGGGGUAAUGGCCUACCAAGCCGACGAUCUGUAGCUGGUCUGAGAGGACGACCAGCCACACUGGGACUGAGACACGGCCCAGAAUCCUACGGGAGGCAGCAGUGGGGAAUCUUGGACAAUGGGCGCAAGCCUGAUCCAGCCAUGCCGCGUGGAUGAUGAAGGCCCUAGGGUUGUAAAAUCCUUUCGUUGGGGACGAUAAUGACGGUACCCAAAGAAGAAGCUCCGGCUAACUUCGUGCCAGCAGCCGCCGUAA
rnacentral:rRNA from 1 species